GAUGAACGCUAGCGGCAGGCUUAACACAUGCAAGUCGAAGGGCAGCGGGGGAGUGCUUGCACUCCCGCCGGCGACUGGCGCACGGGUGAGUAACACGUAUGCAACCUACCUCUGACAGGGGGACAACCUUCCGAAAGGGAGGCUAAUCCCGCAUAUAUUCCUUGAGGGCAUCCUUAAGGGAGGAAAACUACGGUGGUUGGAGAUGGGCAUGCGGCGCAUUAGUUAGUCGGCGGGGUAACGGCCCACCGAGACGACGAUCAGUAGGGGUUCUGAGAGGAAAGUCCCCCACAUUGGAACUGAGACACGGUCCAAACUCCUACGGGAGGCAGCAGUGAGGAAUAUUGGUCAAUGGGCGGAAGCCUGAACCAGCCAAGUAGCGUGCAGGACGACGGCCCUAUGGGUUGUAAACUGCUUUUAUAGGGGAAUAAAGUGAGCCACGUGUGGUUUUUGCAUGUACCCUAUGAAUAAGGACCGGCUAAUUCCGUG
rnacentral:rRNA from 1 species